rnacentral:rRNA from 1 species
UACGUGGGGGGCAAGCGUUGUUCGGAAUUACUGGGCGUAAAGGGCUCGUAGGCGGCCAACUAAGUCAGACGUGAAAUCCCCAGGCCCAACCUGGGAACUGCGUCUGAUACUGGAUGGCUUGAAUCCGGGAGAGGGAUGCAGAAUUCCAGGUGUAGCGGUGAAAUGCGUAGAUAUCUGGAGGAAUACCGGUGGCGAAGGCGGCAUCCUGGACCGGCAUUGACGCUGAGGAGCGAAAGCUAGGGGAGCAAACGGG